CCUACGGGUGGCUGCAGUGAGGAAUAUUGGUCAAUGGACGAGAGUCUGAACCAGCCAAGUAGCGUGAAGGAUGACUGCCCUAUGGUUUGUAAACUUCUUUUAUCUGGGAAUAAAAUGUUCCACGUGUGGGAUUUUGUAUGUACCAUAUGACUAAGUAUCGGCUACCUCCGUGCCCGCAGCCGCGGUAAUAUGGAGGAUCCGAGCGUUAUACGGAUUUAUUGGGUUUAAAGGGAGCGUAGGUGGAUGGUUAAGUCAGUUGUGAAAGUGUGCGGCUCAAACGUAAAAUUGCAGUUGAAACUGGCAGUCUUGAGUACAGUAGAGGUGGGCGGAAUUCGUGGUGUAGCGGUGAAAUGCUUAGAUAUCACGAAGAACUCCGAUUGCGAAGGCAGUUCACUGGACUGCAACUGACACUGAGGCUCGAAAGUGUGGGUAUCAAACAGGAGUAGAUACCCCAGUAGUC
rnacentral:rRNA from 1 species